CCUACGGGAGGCAGCAGUGGGGAAUAUUGCGCAAUGGGCGAAAGCCUGACGCAGCAACGCCGCGUGAGUGAUGAAGGUCUUCGGAUCGUAAAGCUCUGUCGGCAGGAACGCGGUACCUGCAAAGGAAGCACCGGCUAACUCUGUGCCAGCAGCCGCGGUAAUACAGAGGGUGCAAGCGUUGUUCGGAAUUAUUGGGCGUAAAGGGCGCGUAGGCGGUGAGUCAAGUUGACUGUGAAAGCCCGGGGCUCAACCUCGGAAGUGCAUUCAAAACUGGCUCACUAGAGUUCCGCAGAGGAUGGUAGAAUUCCCAGUGUAGAGGUGAAAUUCGUAGAUAUUGGGAGGAAUACCGGGGGCGAAGGCGACCAUCUGGCGAUACUGACGCUGAGGCGCGAAAGCGUGGGUAGCAAACAGGAUUAGAUACCCUUGUAGUC
rnacentral:rRNA from 1 species